GAUGAACGCUGGCGGCGUGCCUAAUACAUGCAAGUCGAGCGAACGGACGAGAAGCUUGCUUCUCUGAUGUUAGCGGCGGACGGGUGAGUAACACGUGGAUAACCUACCUAUAAGACUGGGAUAACUUCGGGAAACCGGAGCUAAUACCGGAUAAUAUUAUGAACCGCAUGGUUCAAAAGUGAAAUACGGUCUUGCUGUCACUUAUAGAUGGAUCCGCGCUGCAUUAGCUAGUUGGUAAGGUAACGGCUUACCAAGGCAACGAUGCAUAGCCGACCUGAGAGGGUGAUCGGCCACACUGGAACUGAGACACGGUCCAGACUCCUACGGGAGGCAGCAGUAGGGAAUGUUCCGCAAUGGGCGAAAGCCUGACGGAGCAACGCCGCGUGAGUGAUGAAGGUCUUCGGAUCGUAAAACUCUGUUAUUAGGGAAGAACAUAUGUGUAAGUAAAUGUGGACAUCUUGACGGUACCUAAUCAGAAAGCCACGGCUAACUACGUG
rnacentral:rRNA from 1 species